ACCGUCGUCUCUUCUGCCUUCCUGUUUUUCACAUUCUGCUUUUUCCUCAUGAUUUCCUAGAACAACACUACAUUUAAUAAUGUUUUCAAAGGGUCGAAAUGUGUCCAGAUGGAGGGACCCCACUGUGCUGCCCCGCCAGCACUCGAGGGGUGAGGAGAGCUGAUGUGUGGGUUGGGGAUCCGGUCUAACUGGACUCUUUCUCAGCGUGAGGGUUGCUGAGUUUUGGCACACCACCAUCCCUCGGCUCAGGUUACAGAAGGACACGGGCGAUUGUUCAGAGAACAUGACACGACAUACUGGGCGGCAAUAUGGCGGAUGGCUGGGCCCCCUCAUCAGCCGGCUUUCAGCACCUCCGUCAAGACUCAAAACCCAACAGAGUAUCAGAUUCACAGGCCCAUAUUUAAGCAAUCUGA